rnacentral:piRNA from 1 species
GAGGGCUUGUUGGGCUGAAACCAAA